rnacentral:rRNA from 1 species
AGUGAACGCUGGCGGUAGGCCUAACACAUGCAAGUCGAACGGCAGCACAGUAAGAGCUUGCUCUUACGGGUGGCGAGUGGCGGACGGGUGAGGAAUACAUCGGAAUCUACUUUUUCGUGGGGGAUAACGUAGGGAAACUUACGCUAAUACCGCAUACGACCUACGGGUGAAAGCAGGGGAUCUUCGGACCUUGCGCGAUUGAAUGAGCCGAUGUCGGAUUAGCUAGUUGGCGGGGUAAAGGCCCACCAAGGCGACGAUCCGUAGCUGGUCUGAGAGGAUGAUCAGCCAAACUGGAACUGAGACAACGUCCAGACUCCUACGGGAGGCAGCAGUGGGGAAUAUUGGACAAUGGGCGCAAGCCUGAUCCAGCCAUACCGCGUGGGUGAAGAAGGCCUUCGGGUUGUAAAGCCCUUUUGUUGGGAAAGAAAAGCAGCAGGUUAAUACCCCGCUGUUCUGACGGUACCCAAAGAAUAAGCACCGGCUAACUUCGUG